rnacentral:rRNA from 1 species
UCGGGAAUUUUGGGCAAUGGGCGAAAGCCUGACCCAGCAACGCCGCGUGAAGGAUGAAGUAUUUCGGUAUGUAAACUUCGUAAGAAUAGGAAGAAUAAAUGACGGUACUAUUUGUAAGGUCCGGCUAACUACGUGCCAGCAGCCGCGGUAAUACGUAGGGACCAAGCGUUGUUCGGAUUUACUGGGCGUAAAGGGCGCGUAGGCGGCGUGGUAAGUCAUCUGUGAAAUCUCCGAGCUUAACUCGGAACGGUCAGAUGAUACUGCUGUGCUAGAGUACAGAAAGGGCAAUCGGAAUUCUUGGUGUAGCGGUGAAAUGCGUAGAUAUCAAGAGGAACACCUGAGGCGAAGGCGGGUUGCUAGGCUGAUACUGACGCUGAGGCGCGAAAGCUAGGGUAGCAAACGGGAUUAGAUACCCUGGUAGUCCCUGAGCGGGCUGGCAAGGCGCAU